UUUCAUUUUUUCAAAUCUAAACUAGUAAACUCCCUUUACUCUCUCUAACAUAUGUGACGGAAAAACGAAACCCUAGCUCUAUGUUCUAUCUAGAAAAAUCCCUAAUUAGUUGCGAAAUUUGUUAAAUCAAAUUGGGGCUAACGCAGGAAAAAGCUCAGAAUUAAACCCUAAUUUCUGAACAAAACAACUUUGAUCGCUGGAGAUUUUGUGAUGUGUAAGAUCUGAGGUAUUUGGUAAGGACAUGAAUGGUGGACAUGUAGGUUGGGGAUUCUGGGUUAUGCUUAGUAGAUUGACUGCAUGUUAAUGGAAGAUAGAGCAGAAAAGACUCAUGGUACUGAGAAUGCUGAGAAAUCUAUGUCAUUGGAUCUGCAAAGGGUAUAUAAUCAGAAGCCCUGGGUUUCUGCUGUCAAAAAGCGUGGUUCUGGGAACGGUAGUAGUAGUAGUAAUGCCUUGAAGCGGAAACUUGAUUCUGAUGAUCAGAAUGAGGCUAGGAAAAAGAGUAAAAAGGAGGUGUUCUUGAGUAGUUUGUCGUCUGGGAAGAAGAGUAAGAAGAGUGCAGGUGGAGUCUCUGAGGGUAGGUUGAAACCUGUGGGCGCUGCCUCGGGUAAGCUAGAGUCACGGGAGGAUGUGAGAGGGGAUGGUGAUUGUAGUGGUUUAGGUGGCAUUUCUCUUAAUCUAAAUAGUAAUGUUACUAUUCCCAAGCGCCCUCGAGAUUUGGUCCGAAGAAAGAAGGUUGAGCCAGAUGUUGUGUCAAAGCAGGAGAGACCAUCGAGUAGUAUAGGAAAUUUAGCUGAAGGAAGAGGCAAGUUGAAUGGCACUUCAGACUGUACUUUGUCACAGAAUGGCAAUGCUAAUGGGAAAUUGCCUCAGAAUGGUGAAUCUGAGGGUACUUCUAAUGGCAAUGUCGUAGUGAAGGUCAAAAGGAAAAAUAAUUCUCAUGAUCAUAAAGAAAAUAGGUCUAGUGGUCCUGACUUGCUCCGGCAUUUGAAAAGAGAUGAUUCUCAUUCCUCUUUACAUGAUGAUUCAGUGACGAAGAAAGCUAGAAGAAAUCGUAAGAAAAAAAAAGAAACCAGAAUCGAAAGGCCUGUGCUCACAGUGGAAGCUAAGCAAGAGUCAAGUAGGAUUUGUGAUGAUUCUCAGGAUGAUGAGGAGAAUCUCGAGGCAAACGCAGCUAGGAUGCUUUCAUCCCGCUUUGAUCCAAGUUGCACGGGGUUCUCUGCCGGUGGCAAGAGCUCUAAAUUGCCUUCUGCAAAUGGCUUGUCAGCAUUGGUCUCUUCGAGUACGGAAUUGGCUACUACACAUCCACAUUCCAGGGAUGAGUCAGAUAUUGCAUCUAGUGAUGCUGAAGCCAGAGUUUUACGACCAAGGGAUCAGCAGAAAGCUAAGGGGCUCUCAAGAAAACGUCGUCAUUUUUAUGAAGUUGUAUUUAGGGAUUUGGAUUCUUAUUGGGUACUUAACCGAAGGAUCAAGAUUUUCUGGCCAUUGGACCAGCGAUGGUAUUUUGGUCAUGUAAUUGGUUAUGAUCCAGAGAAAAAACUUCAUCAUAUCAAAUAUGAUGAUCGUGAAGAAGAAUUGAUUGAUCUGCAACAUGAGAGGUUCAAGCUCUUACUACUACCGAGUGAGGUGCCUGGUAAGGUUGGGAGGAAAAGAUCAACAGCACAUCCAAGAAAGGGGAAGCAUGGGGAAACUGCUGAUAUAGAGGAGAAGACUAAUAGCAGCUGUAUGGAAUCUGAGCCAAUUAUUUCAUGGUUGGCGCGAUCUACUCUUCGCAAAUCACCACCCGUUGGAGUAAGGAAGAAAAAGAGAACAAAAUCUCAAUCAUCCUCAGUUUCAGAAGGGAAAAUUGAGCCAUGGGAUAGCUUGGAAUUGGGUUCUUCUGGGCGUCAUACUGAUAAUUUUGCUUGUAGUUCUGCAUUGCUAAAUAAUUCAGGUGAUACCAUACGGGAGAGCAGGCUGACUGCAGAUAACUUUCUCUCGAGUGAUGAUAGAGCUCCAAUAGUUUAUUUUAGGCGGCGUUAUCACAAGAAAGAUCAACCACCAUCUAGUGUUCUUGAAGGGGGUUUGUGCCUGCUAUCAGAGAAGCCUCCAGUACAUGGAAAUGCACCUGAAUUUGUUGAUUGUAUAGACCUGGAUGUUGACAUGCCAUUGUUGACCACUGAGUGUGGGUAUCCUGCUAAAAGAUUGUGCAAUGAUGAGCUUAUUUGGGACAUUGAUUGCUCUGGUCUUCUAAAGCUGAUUACGCCAGUAACAAGUUUAAAGGUGUCUAAGUUUGAUUUGAGCUUCCCUAUGCAAGGUGUUAGCAGCAAGAUAGUUGGAUGGCAGAGGUUCAUGUUCAUGCUUCAACACGGUACUCUGAUCUCUACGUGGCCUAUAGUCCAUCUGGAGAUACUGUUUGUUGACAAUAUCGUUGGUUUGCGGUUUCUCUUGUUUGAAGGUUGUAUGAAGCAGGCGGUCUGUUUUGUUUUUUUGGUCUUGGCUAUUCUUUGUCUAUUUGAGCAGAAAGAAAUGCAUGAUGAUCAGCAGUUCCCUAUGACCUCAGUCAGGUUUCGAUUUGCUGGUUUACCUUACCUUGAAAAGCAGCUCGUGUUUACGUUUUACAACUUUACUGAGAUGGCAAAUUCCAAGUGGUUGUACCUAGACAGAAAGCUGAAGAAUCACUGUAUGCUCACCAAGCAACUGCCACCAUCAGAAUGCACUUACGAUAAUAUUGAAGCACUCCGAAGUGGUUGUAAUCAAUUAAAAUUGACCAAUGUUUCCCGAAAACCCUCUUCAGUGAUGAACUUACAGAAAAGGUCUAGGCAGCGGGGUACUAGCUUUUCUUCUAGGCAUUCUGGUUGUAUCAAGUUGAGCGGUCUAGCUUUUGCUAGUGAUGAUAUACUCGGAAGAUUUCCUCCAUUUGCUCUUUCCUUUGGUGCCGCACCUUCAUUCUUUCUUAGUCUGCAUUUGAGGCUACUAAUGGAACGCAGCAUUCCUUCCUCCAGCUUUUGGGAUCAAGAUCCUGUAUAUUUGAUGGAUCAUCCAGAUAAUGAGGGUGGGUUAGUGGCUACCGACAAGCUUCUGAUUAAAGAGAAUUCUAUUCUUUCAUCAGUUUCUGUAGGGGAUAAUUCACUGGUCCAUCCAAAUAUUAGAUCCGAGUUAGACUCUUGUUCAAACAUAGAUCUUGGCAAUAAUCUCUCUGUGGAUGUUGCUGAAGCAAUGACUUCGAAGCCUUCCCUUGGCUCUGACGAUUCUCCAGAAAUUGAGGUUGAUAGCAUGCUUCAGCUUGAUAAAAGAAAAGCUCAGCUAACCGAGAGUGAGCACACUCUUUCAUCAGCACAGCCUUUAGAUGUCGAUAACCAGCAUUGUACAGUUGGAAGCAAGGUGAAAGGUGGACCUCGUAAUGGCAUGAUCACUGAACUUCCUGUCCAAGGGGAUGCUGAUACUGGUGUGCAGAAUAUUCGAAACUCUGUUGUCUUAGCUUUGCGUUCCAUCGGUGGAGUAUGCACUCCAAAACCCACUGCUUCUCAAAGUACGUGGGACAGGAGUAGAGAUGGUAUUUCCUGCUCUUUAGCUUCUGCAAGUAUGCCGACUGGCUGGAUCGACGGGAAACAAGAUUUUCUCCUUAGUGGCUUUGGCAAUGGACCUAAGAAGCCACGAACUCAGGUUUCAUAUUCUCUUCCAUUUGGAGGACAGGAUUGUAACUCUAAGAACAAAUUUCAUCAUUCAAAAGGUUUUUCUCAUAAACGCAUCAGAAGAGCUAGUGAGAAGAAAACAUCUGAAGCUUUUGGGACUGCUCAAAGAAAUAUGGAAUUGUUGUCUUCUGAGGCAAAUAUUUUAAUUACGGCUGGGGACCGAGGAUGGAGAGAAUGUGGGGCGAGAAUUGUGCUUGAGCUUUUUGAUCACAGUGAGUGGAGACUUGCUGUAAAAACUUCAGGCGACACAAGAUAUUCUUACAAAGCUCAUCAGUUUGUGCAACCUGGAACAACAAACCGGUAUACUCAUGCUAUGAUGUGGAAAGGAGGAAAGGAUUGGAUUCUGGAGUUUCCAGACCGGUCUCAGUGGGCAACUUUCAAAGAGAUGCAUGAAGAAUGCUAUAAUAGGAAUUUUCGCGCUGCUUCCGUGAAAAAUAUUCCCAUCCCUGGAGUUCGUUUGAUUGAAGAAAAUGAUGAUAAUUCUCCUGAGGUACCGUAUAUUCGCCCUUCUCCGAAAUACUAUCGUCAGGUGGAAACUGAUAUCGACAUUGCUAUGGAUCCAUCCCGUGUUUUAUAUGACAUGGACAGUGAUGAUGAGCGGUGGAUCAUUAAACAUAGAGGCAUAGAAUUUAAUGAAAGGGGGUGUGGAGAUGUCUCUGAUGAGAUGUUUGAGAAAACAAUUGAUGUGCUUGAGAAAUUUGCAUAUGUCAAACAAUGCGAUCUCUUCACUUCGGAUGAAUUAGAGGAAGUCACGGCUGAGGUUGGGCCACUUGAAGCCAUGAAAAUCAUUUAUGAACAUUGGAAGGAGAAGCGGCAGAGAAAGGGAGUGCCUCUCGUUCGGCAUCUACAGCCUGCAUUAUGGGAGAAGUAUCAGCAGCAAGUAAAAGAAUGGGAGCAAAUGAUGGCAAAGAGCAACGUGGUCACAUCCAGUGGGUUUCAGGAAAAGUCCUCAACAAUUGAGAAACCUCCAAUGUUUGCUUUCUGUUUGAAACCACGAGGAUUGGAAAUUCCUAAUAGAGGGUCGAAGCAGAGAUCACAGAAGAAACUUCCUGUUGGUGCUCUGAGCAACGGAAUUCCUGGAGAUGCGGAUAUUUUUCAUUCUCUAGCUGGACGGCGAUUAAAUGGGUUUGCUUUAGGGGACGACAGAGCUGUCUACUCUGCAUAUAAUCAGGGCAUGUCUGAUUCUUCUCCUGUUCUUCAGGGAUCAACAAGGGUGUUCUCCCCCAGAGAUCCUGGGACUGGGGGGUACUUUUCAUUGAGUAGUGAUGGGUAUGAGAAAAAUCAUUACCCGAAACUAUAUAGAAACAAGUCGAAGAAGUUAUGCUUUAUACCAUCCUCAAGUGAUCAGCUGCCAUAUUCUUCAUACAACCAGAGGACACCUGCCAAGAGAAGUUCAGCUCAGUUAUGGAGCUCUUCUGAGUGGCCCAGUCAGAUGCGUUAUCAACCUGAUGGGUUUCAAAGGCAUAACUUUGAUCAACUGGGCCCGACUGAGCUUGAUGAGUUUAGGUUGCGUGAUGCAGCAAGUGCUGCUCGACAUGCCGUCACCGUAGCUAAAAUGAAGAGGGAAAAUGCUCAGAGAAUGCUUUGUAGAGCAGAUCUGGCAAUGCAUAAGGCAGUUGCUGCAAUCAUGACUGCUGAGGCAGUUAAAGCUUCAUGCAGGGAGGCAAAUAGUGAUGUUCAGAUGAGUGAGUGAAACCUUUUCCUCAUCUGAAGAGCUUGCCUGUCACACGGGAUCUCUUCUCCCAAUUGUAUCAGGGGAUUGAAUAUGAUUGCCGAAAGGAUUGAUUUUAUUCCCCAGAUGACUGGAAUCUGUAGAUACACAAGUCCUCUAACAUGGUAUGAGCUGACUCAGAGGGGUGUCUGAAACUUGUUCUUUUGCCGAGUUGUGCCAGGCUUUUCAGAUCACUAGAUUUAGUGUAUCAAGGCAGUAUCAAUGGGUGGUUUGCUAUUAGUUUGCUGAGCUGCUGGUUUUCUCAUUAACUGAAAAGUCUGAAACCCUCCUCCUGUUUGUGCAGUUGCGUCUUUGUGAUGCCGCAAUGAAAGCUAAGGUGAAGUUAGCGUGCUUUGAUGUAGAAUCCUGCUUGGUUGGCAUUUUUCAUUCUGUUCUGCAAGAAUUUUGUGAUUUUCUUUCAGUUAAGAUUCUCGGUGAAGCCAUGAAGUAGUGAUUCGGUAUUGUUUUCUUCAUCUUUUUUUUUGUACAAAGAAGGAUGUAAUUCAUGUUGUAAAGUUAAUUGUAGACACGAUGGAGAACGCAGAUAUUUAUAGCAUCUGUUGCAUAAGAAGGAUGUUAGGGGAGAUGCAAUGAAACAGCGCAAUUUUUAUGAGUUUUUAUUACUUGUGGUGUGUUGCAUGCAAAUAUGCAAUGUUGGGUGGGCUAUUUGCUUUGUAUUAAAGUUGCGAAGCAAAUGUAAGGUGGACACAACCGCAUCAAUAGUAGCUUGGUUUGAGCUUUAUUCUUGUCUACACCU